CGUGCUUCUGUUAGCCUCUGU
rnacentral:misc_RNA from 1 species